CACAGCCCUGCGUGACACAGUGUCCCAAGGGUGAGAAGGGGGAGCCUGGCAACAUGGGACCGAAAGGACGCAUAGGGCUGCCCGGCCCCCCUGGAGAACCGGGGCGCAAUGGGCUCCCGGGCCCUCAGGGGCCUGCAGGACCACGGGGUGCCCCCGGCCAGGUGAUCGAGCAGCCAGGCAAGAAGGGGGAGAGGGUGAGUAAUUGCUGGAGCGGCUCACCAGGCUCAUAGGAGCUCCAAGGGCAAUG
rnacentral:lncRNA from 1 species